AGUGAACGCUGGCGGUAGGCCUAACACAUGCAAGUCGAACGGCAGCACAGUAAGAGCUUGCUCUUACGGGUGGCGAGUGGCGGACGGGUGAGGAAUACAUCGGAAUCUACUUUUUCGUGGGGGAUAACGUAGGGAAACUUACGCUAAUACCGCAUACGACCUACGGGUGAAAGCAGGGGAUCUUCGGACCUUGCGCGAUUGAAUGAGCCGAUGUCGGAUUAGCUAGUUGGCGGGGUAAAGGCCACCAAGGCGACGAUCCGUAGCUGGUCUGAGAGGAUGAUCAGCCACACGGGAACUGAGACACGCUCCAGACCCCAACGGGAGGAGGCAGUGGGAAAUUUUGAACAAGGGGCGCAAGCCGGACCCAGCCAUACCGGGGGGGGGAAGAAGGCCUUGGGGUUUUAAGCCCUUUUUGUGGGAAAAAAAAAGCAGCAGGUUAAUCCCCCGCUGUUCUGACGGUACCCAAAGAAAAAGCCCCGGCUAACUUCGUG
rnacentral:rRNA from 1 species